rnacentral:tRNA from 1 species
GAGUUGAAAGCUAAUACACUGAAGUAUUGAUCUUGUAAAUCAAUGAUAGGAUAAAUUCCUCAGCUCU